rnacentral:rRNA from 1 species
GGGUCCUACGGGAGGCAGCAGUGGGGAAUAUUGCACAAUGGGGGAAACCCUGAUGCAGCAACGCCGCGUGAAGGAAGAAGGUUUUCGGAUUGUAAACCUCUGUGGAGGGGGACGAUAAUGACGGUACCCCUUUAGGAAGCCACGGCUAACUACGUGCCAGCAGCCGCGGUAAUACGUAGGUGGCGAGCGUUGUCCGGAAUUACUGGGUGUAAAGGGAGUGUAGGCGGGAAAGCAAGUCAGAAGUGAAAACUAUGGGCUUAACCCAUAGCCUGCUUUUGAAACUGUUUUUCUUGAGUGAAG